GACGAACGCUGGCGGCGUGCUUAACACAUGCAAGUCGAACGAAGUGGCGAACGGGCGAGUAACGCGUAAUCAACCUGACCUUCAGAGGGGGAAAACAGUUGGAAACGACUGAUAAAACCGCAAACUGAAGGAGGGGAGCGCGUCUGCUUAGCUAGUGGGCGAGGUAAAUGCCCACCAAGGCCAUGAUCACGAUCCGGACUGCGAGGAUGAAUGGCCACCUUGGGACUGAGACACGGCCCAUACUCCUCAGGGAGGCAGGCGUGGGGAAUCUUCCGCAAUGGAUGAAAGUCUGACGGAGCAACGCCGCGUGGGUGGUGACGGCCUUCGGGUUGUAAAGCUCUGUUAAUCAGGAGGCGGUACCUAAAUAGAAAGCCACGGCUAACUACGUGCCAGCAGCCGCGGUAAUAC
rnacentral:rRNA from 1 species